ensembl:lncRNA
UAUGGGGGAAGUCCUUGUGUGUAUAUGUUUGUCUUUUUUGGUUGAUAAAUAAAGCACUGUUGGCCAAUAGGGAAUCAAGUUAGGUGGGACUAGGAGUCAAGGAGGAUUCUGGGAAAUGUAGUAAAGAGAAGUCUUGUGAUCCAGGAAGGAAGUGACAUAGUAGGCAGACUUAUAAGUCUGGAGAAGCAGGAAAUCACUCUCUUCCUUCCCCUCUCUUCUCUGGGAGCUGCCAUGUGAGCCCAACAAGAGAGGAAGCAUGCUGUCGGCGUCCUCGAUCAGAUAAGUCUUUAUAAAAUAUAUAGAUUAAUAAUUAUGGUUGAUACUUAAGACAGAGAUAGGAGAUAAGAAAUCCUAGGCAUUGGCCAGCAGCAUUGUACCUAAUAUUAAUCUCUGUGUGUUAUUUGGGGCCCUAACAUGGCGGCAGGCAGGGCUCGGGCGGCUUGGAGGAAAGGCUUAUCGUUACAUCUUUCUGUUAGUAUCAUUCAUUUGAAAACUGAGCAUUUGGAGGGAAAAUGUCCCCUUUGGGGUUUUGUCUAGAAGAACUACACUAGCAAAACCAGGGUAGGAAUUAAAGUAUUCCCUGAGUGUGCAUCUUCCUUGAAUUACCCAUACCCUCCUCUCAUCUUCAUUUCCCCAUAUACAUGGCUACACCAAAAAUUUGUUUCCUUAAUCUUUUCUUCUGCUUCUUGCUGGGUGGGGGGGCUAUGGAUCUGUGAACCAAAUUCUCAAUUGUACACACACACUGUAACCUCUGUCUGUUGUCUCUUGUCCUCUAUAACCGGCAAGUUACAGUUCUCUUUGGUGACAUAAUACCUAUAGCUGAUUUAGAUAUUUCCAAAAGGAUAUCCAAGCCAUGCCAGAGUCUCAAUGACGCUUUAAGCCAGUUGAAACAAAGUUUAGAACCAUGUGCUGCCUUCUUAGAUUAGCUUAGAUGCUGCAAUGAAGUUUGAUUCUUUCUCCUAUAGCAGUGUAAAAGAUGGGCAUGGAACAGCCUCCUCCUGACUUUACAAUGCACAAGGAGGUGCUAAGGCAAGGGAUCCUGAUUGAGAACUGAUUUGCCAUGAGAAUUCACCAUGGAGUGUAAAGGGCAUUUUCAGUGAAACUGGAUAGAUCAGAGCUGUAUUUCAUUUAAGCAAUUAUACUUUAAUGGAGUCAUUUGGAAGACUGCCAAGAAGUUGCAUACAGCAAUAUGCAACUAGAACCAAAAAUACCCAGUACCCACUUGGCCAAGCACAACCCUUCCAAGGGCCACCCAUUGGCACAGAAGAGAGCUCCGAUCAGAUGUGUUCUGCAUCACCCAUUUUCUGGAGGUCUGGAGUAAGGCCUGCUGGCAGGCUCCAACAGAGAAUUAGCCAUUGUGAGCUAAUGUACUGUGACCAAGAUGCACUGUUGACCUUUAUAGCAACAUGGAUUCCAAAGCUGUACCUAUUGGCUAGGAGCUGCCCUGCCACAGAGGGGAGAGACUGGGAAGAUAUUAAAUAUAGUGGCACCAACUGAGCACUCAAGGAGCUGGACUAUGGUGGCCUCGGCCAAGCUCAUGAAUGUCUGAAACAUCCCUCCGUGUGAUCUCCCUUCAUUCAAAAGAUUAAUCUGACCUGUUCAAGAAAGGGGAAGAGGAGUUGAAAUCUCUCAAGACCUGGGCUCAGGAAUCAUUAAAUUACUUCUCUUCUCUCACAAAACAAAGUCACAAGACCAGCCUAGAUGAGAACAGGAGAGAAAUAGAGUCCAUGCCUCAAUAGAGGAAGGCUGAAGGCAGUGCCAAACACAUGGGUGACCCAAAAGGAAGCAAGGGAGAAGGAGAAUGGGAAAGAGGAAGGAGAAAGAAACAAGAAAUCCUUCUUUGGCUCCCAGGCCCUCUAUUUUCUGUUUUCGGAACAGUUCAGCAUAGUAACAAACCUCAAAUGUGCACAGCCUUCAGCUUUGACUCAGAGAAAAUCCAUGGAGCAAUGGCUGUAUGGCGGCAAAUCCAUUCUUCACGUGCUGGGCCCUGGAUAGCUCACUAGAUUUUGUUCCUAAGAAGAGGGCAAACUGUGUUCUUGACACAAAUUCCACUGAUGAGAGUCACCUCUUGGCUCUUAAUUGUUCUUCAUGAGAACAUUCAUGAUAUAAUGACAAGCACUUGGAGGAACUCCUGCUCAGAGAGUAAUCUACUUGGAUGGGAAAAGGAAAACAACUUCAAUCGUUCUGGAAGAAUGACAAAGAAUAUCAAGAGUAGCAUUCUUUUCUUUACUUCAUGUUGAGUAAAUAUUUAUUAAAGGUCCACCAUGUAGUGCCCAGGAUCCUGCGUACAAGGAAAUGAGACAUCAGCCCAGGCUGCAUAAAAUUAGAGAUAACUGGACAGUCAGUACAAUAGACACCAGGGUCAACACGUGCAGACCAUGCCUGCAAUGCAGACUUGGGGAUGUUCCAGAGAAAAUGGUGAUGAAGGGAUGGGUAACUUUGAAUCUACUCCUGUGGGAACUGGAAGAGGAGAGGAAGGGUCAGAGCAAGUACCCAGAGAGAAGAAAACAGAGGUAUGGAGGGGUUAACUUGAUCGGAAGGUGGUGGAGAAGAAGAUGGGCACUGGAAAGUGUUAGCACCUUUUCAGCAGUGGGGGUCUGAUUAAACUCAGAGUCUGGCUGAGAAAUCACCCUG